rnacentral:rRNA from 1 species
AUUUAAGUGGCGAGCAACGCAUUAAGUUGACCGCCUGGGGAGUACGGCCGCAAGGUUAAAACUCAAAGUGAAUGACGGGGGCCCGCACAAGCGGUGGAGCAUGUGGUUAAUUCGAAGCAACGCGAAGAACCUUACCAGGCCUGGACAUGCAGAGAACUUUCCAGAGAUGGAUUGGUGCCUUCGGGAACUCUGACACAGGUGCUGCAUGGCGUGUCAGCUCGUGUCGUGAGAUGUUGGGUUAAGUCCCGUAACGAGCGCAACCCUUGUCCUUAGUUACCAGCACGUUAAGGUGGGCACUCUAAGGAGACUGCCGGUGACAAACCGGAGGAAGGUGGGGGGAUG